CCCUCCUUCCUGCCCCCCCCCUUCCCUCCCAUUUGUUCGCAUUGCUGCCAGGGCUGCGUGUCACAGCGUGCGCAGCGUGUCACGUGUGCGGUGUGUCAUGUGUGUGCCGUGUGUGCCAUGUGCUGCAUGUCACAGCAUGUGCUGCGUGUCACGUGUGUGCUGUGUGUCAUGUGUGUGCUGCAUGUCACAGUGCGUGCGCCGUGUCACGUGUGUGCAGCGUGUCACGUGUGCUGUGUGUGCCGUGUGCUGCAUGUCACGGUGUGUACCGCAUGUGCCGUGCCUCAUCACUGUGUGCUGCGUGUCACGUGUGUGCUGCGUGUGCCAUGCGCUGUGUCACAGCGUGUGCUGCGUGUGCCGUGCAUCAUCCAUGUGUGCAGUGUGUCACGUGUGUGCUGCGUGUGCCGUGCAUCAUCACCGUGUGCUGUGUCACAGCGUGUGCUGCGUGUGCCAUGUGCUGCAUGUCACAGCGUGUGCUGCAUGUUACAGCGUGUGCCGUGUGCUGCGUGUCACGUAUGUGUUGCGUGUGCCAUGCAUCACCAGUGUGAGCUGCGUGUCGCAGCGUGUGCCACAUGCCAUGCAUUGCUGUGUGCCAUGUGCUGCGUGUGCCACGCGUGUGCUGCAUGCCGCGCUGCAUGCUGUGCUGUGUGCUGCAUGUCACCCACGUGUGCCACGUGCCAUGCAUCAUGCCGUGUGGUGUGUGCCAUGCGUGUGCUGCAUGUUGCGGUGCAUGCCCUGCUGCGUGUCAUGUGCCACGUCACGUGUGUGCUGCAUGUCACGUGUGUGCUGCACGCUGGGCCGUGUGUCACAACGCGGGCUGCAUGUCACGUGCUGCGUGUGCUGCAACGUGUGCUGCAUGCCAUGCACUUGGUGCUCCAUGCAUGCUGCUGUGUGUGCCGUGUGCUGCGUGCCAUGUGCUGUGUGCCAUGCAUCAUGCUGUGUUGUAUGUUGUGUGCCGCGUGCCAUGCACCCUGCCAUGUUCUGCGUGCCAUGUGCUUUGUGCCACGUUCUGUGUUCCGUGUGCCGCGUUGCAACGUGUGCUGCGUGUUGUGCAUCGUGUGCCGUGCACCGUGUGCUGCGUGCCACAACACCCGCGUGCCGUGUGUUGCGUGCUGUGUGCUGUGUGCUGCACGCCAUGCAUUGCGUGCCGCGUGCCGUGCACCGUGUGCGCCGUGCUGUGCCGCGUGCUGUGUGUCACACGCAGAUCCGUGCGCCGUUCCGUGUGCUGUUCUGUGUGCCGUGCGCCGUUCCAUGCGUGCUCUUCUGUGUGCUGCUCCAUGCACCAGUCCCUGUGCACCAGUCCAUGCACCAUUCCAUGCACUGUUCCAUGUGCACCAUUCCAUGUGCACCAUUCAGUGUGCACCAUUCCAUGCACCAUUCCCUGUGCACCAUUCCAUGUGCACCAUUUCAUGUGCACCGUUCCGUGUGCACCGUUCCACGUGCACCGUUCCAUGCCAUUCCGUGUGCACGGUUCCGUGCACGGUUCCGUGUUGCACCCCUUGACCUCUCUCCUCUCUCCCCUCCACAGCACUGGUGCAAAAAGGUGGGUGUGAGAGCACAUGUGUGUGAGAGCACGUGUGUGUAAGAGCACGUGUGUGUGAGAGCACGUGUGUGAGUGUACAUGUGUGAGUGCACAUGUGUUUGGGAGGGUGCGUGUGUGUGAGUGCAGGCAUGUGUGAGUGCAUGUGUGUGUGAAAGCACAUGUGUCUGAGUGCACGUGUGUGAGCAUGUGUGUGUGAGUGCAUGUGUGAGUGCACAUGUGUGUGAGUGUACGUGAGUGCAUGUGUGUGUGAGAACGUGUCUAAUUGCAUGUGUGUGAGAGUAUGUGCGUGAGAGCACAUAUGUGAUAGCACGUGUGUCUGAGUGCACGUGUGUGUAAAAGCAUGUGUGUGUGAGAGCACAUGUGAGAGCACAUGUGUGUGAAUGCAUGUGUGUGAGUGUGUGUGUGGGUGAGCACGUGUCUGCGCAUGUGUGAGUGCACAUGUGUGUGAGUGCACAUGUGUGAGUGCACAUGUGUGUGAGUGCACAUGUGUGAGUGCACGUGUGUGUGAGAGCACAUAUGUGGGUGCACACAUGUGAGUGUGUGAAUCCAUGUGUGUGAGAGCACAUGUGUGUGUGCAUGUGUGUCUGUGUGUGUGUGAGUGCAUGUCUGAAUGCAUGUGUGUGAGUGCACACACGUGUGCGAGUACCCAUCUGUGUGUGUGUGCUCACGUGUGCGUGUGAGUGCAUGCGUCUGUACAUGCAUGUGUGUGCGCACAUGUGUGUGAGUGCACACGUGUGUGUGAGUGCACGUGUGAGUGCGUACAUAUGUGUGUGUGUGUGUGUGUGUGUUCAUGUAUGUAAGUGCACAUGUAUGUGUGCACGUGUGUGAGUGUGCGUGUGCCCCCCAUGUCACACCUCACCCUGCACUACAAUAGGGGCAGCUGUGGGGCACACUGGGAUCUGUGGGGCACACCUGGGGUCUAUGGGGCACACUGGGAUCUGUGGGGAUCUGUGGGGCACACUGGGAUCUGUGGGGCUCAAUGGGAUCUGUGGGGCACACUGACAUCUAUGGGGCUCAGUGGAAUCUGUGGGGCACACUGGGA
ensembl:lncRNA